rnacentral:lncRNA from 1 species
CCGCGGGAGGGCCGCCGGAGCCCGCGCCCCGCCCCGGCCCGCCCCGGCCCCGCCCCGGCCCGCCCCGGCCCCGCCCCGGCCCGCCCCGGCCCGGCCCCGCCCCGCCCCGGCCCCGCCCCCCGCGGCCAGCCGCGGCUGCCUGGAGCCCCCCGGCCAGCGGCCGGCCGCUGGGGCCGAGUAUUGUCUCAAAGGCCGAAAAGACAGGAAAGCGGGGACACUGGGGGACAGCCACGUGACCAGGAGAGGAUUUAUAAUAUUUUCCUUCGCUGUCGACAAUAUUGCAAAAUGUACGAAAGGGACCGCACGGCCGCGACCGGAGCGUGACGGCGCGGGCAAGACAGGUUCCCGGAGCGCCCGCGCUGUGCCCGCCGGAGCCCGGGUCUCUCCAGCUCGCCGGGGCGGAAUCCGAGGGCAGAGGCCGGCUUACCGACACGACACGCGCCGAGGGGACCCAAACCCGGUCCGGUCCGAGCCCGCAGCCCGGCUCCUUCUCUCCUUCCACUUCCGCCUCACGUUUCCCCCCUACCGGAAAUCUGAUGGGCUUAUGACAUCAUGGCUGGCUGCUGAGCGAUGAAGUGGAUGCCACAAAGAAAUCCGACAUAUCAGAUGGAUUCUGAAAUCAGUUUCCCUCUGGCUGUAGUAACAGGCGUGAAGUCAGGAGAAUGUGAGCUUUGUUUAAAAAAACAAAAAAAUAUAACUAAGCCUCGUCCUGUGUUAAAUACAGUUUUUUUUUUUUUUUUUUAAGCAAACACACCUUUUGGACAUCAUCCUAUUUUAAUAGACAUGCUGGUUUUUAUGAAAUGAAAGCGUCUAAUAAAUCAGACCUGAUGCUGCAUUUGAACGUUGUUCCCUUUCGGUUGAGUUUUUGUGUGUCCUUAUUCACUAAUAAAGGAGGAACUAGGAAUUGUUUAUCUCCCUUCGUUAUUCAAAUGGGGUGGCUUUUUGUUUGUUUGUUUGGUUUAGUUUUUGUUUUUGUUUUUGUUUUUGUUUUUGAGGCCAAUAAAAUUCACGGGGUAAAUUGCUGGGUUAUAUGUUUCCAGGAAUCCAUUUUUAUAGAGUGACCUUGGACCUGACCUCGUCU